rnacentral:rRNA from 1 species
UACGUAGGGUGCGAGCGUUAAUCGGAUUUACGGGGCGUAAAGCGUGCGCAGGCGGCCCGUUAAGACAGGUGUGAAAUCCCUGGGCUCAACCUAGGAAUUGCGCUUGUGACUGGCGGGCUCGAGUACGGUAGAGGGGGGUGGAAUUCCUGGUGUAGCAGUGAAAUGCGUAGAGAUCAGGAGGAACACCGAUGGCGAAGGCAGCCCCCUGGGCCUUUACUGACGCUCAUGCACGAAAGCGUGGGGAGCAAACAGU